GCUUCCUCCUCUUCUACGUGGUCUUCAUGCUGCUGCUCUAUGUCGUCUACACUCGGCUCCUGGGCUCCUAGGACCCACGUUGCCCCUUCCUUCCCCACCUUCUAUUUAUAAGACCUCCUGUUCAACCGGUGGUGCCUUCAGCCCUACCAAAGACACUAGUGUCCCCUCACCAACGCUGACCUCAGAAGCCCCACUCUCAUACCCACAAUACCCUUACCCUUAGUGCUGAUGGUGCCUUCGUGUUCUCCCGGCCAGCCCUCUGUCCCCCGUCGGAUGACAGGACUGUGGCUUUUCUCUUCUGUCCUCCCUCCCCCUACCAGCUGCUAUGGGGGAGCUAAAUUAUCUCUGUUUUGUAGAGAGAACUAUUAGCAGGGGAUGUGAGCCCAGUAUGGGCCCCUGGCUCUGUGUAUAAACUGUAUAGAUUGUCACCUCUGUGUGUGCGUGUGUGAGCUCCUGCUGCAGCCAGGUCUUGUCCUGCCUGGGCUACCUGCCUGUGCAAGCCUUUCCCUUUGGAAAUGACAGGCCUCUCCUGUCCCAGUCCCCUGUGUUAACCACCCGUCUGUUACCUGCUGGCAGCUUCUAUGUGUCAUUUGUCCCCAGGUAUGGGGCAGUGUCUACCAGGAGUUCCCACCCUCUUAACCUUGCUGGGGGAAUUCGAGGGGGAAACCUAACCUGGGCCCCUCCCCCCAGGAGUCCCUGUGCCAGCCCCACCACAUCCUGGAAGAGGAAGGGGCCCCUGGAAGGGGCCUCCCUCACAUCGCUGCUGUCCUUCACGCACUUCUGGAACAGCCUUAGGGGUAGAGGUUGGGGGCUCUGGGCCCCAACUACCAUCGGACCUGUCCUGGGAGCAGAUGACACCUGGGCCCAGCCAAUUAACAAGGACUUGGUGACCAUGGUCUUGUGUGUAGCACUGGCCUUGGAUAUCCCCCUGCCCUUAGGCUGCUUCGGGUACAGCCCCCAUCUGGGUGAAGAGCGUUGUGUCAAACACAAUAAAAAGAAGCCCAAAGGCC
rnacentral:lncRNA from 1 species